rnacentral:lncRNA from 1 species
GGUAACGUUUCCGUUCGUUGUACCGAGCAACAACAUCGAUUUCCACGACCGUAUAGAACACAUUCGCUGUCAGUAUGGUUCGACAACCAAAACCGCAGCUGUAAGUGGUGUCGUGCUCAGGAGUGUCCACCAGGUGCCUUCAGGAGCCGAGAGGAAUGUUAUGCUACAUGCGGCGAUCUUGCGUACAGCCCUUGCAUAAUGCCUAUUUCGCAUAUGAGUAGCACUUGUCGAAAUGCGAAGCCUCAAUUGCGUUUUGGAUACAACUAUACAAGUCAUAAAUGCCAACAAUUUUGGCACUCACCUUGUGGGGGAAAUCGAAACAAUUUUCAGACAGUAAAAGAAUGCAUGCAAACAUGCCAACCCAAUUCUAAAUGUAUGAAACCUAUCAAGACACCCCUCAGAGGACUAAUAUUCUCCCCUAAAUCCUUCGUAUUUGAUGUGGA